rnacentral:rRNA from 1 species
GAACGCUGGCGGCGUGCUUAACACAUGCAAGUCGAACGGAAAGGCCCCUUUGGGGGUACUCGAGUGGCGAACGGGUGAGUCACACGUGAGUAACCUGCCCUUGACUUCGGGAUAACUUCAGGAAACUGGGGCUAAUACCGGAUAGGAAUCCUUGCUGCAUGGUGGGGGUUGGAAAGCUUCGGCGGUUUUGGAUGGACUCGCGGCUUAUCAGCUUGUUGGUGGGGUAGUGGCUUACCAAGGCUUUGACGGGUAGCCGGCCUGAGAGGGCGACCGGCCACAUUGGGACUGAGAUACGGCCCAGACUCCUACGGGAGGCAGCAGUGGGGAAUAUUGCACAAUGGGCGGAAGCCUGAUGCAGCAACGCCGCGUGCGGGAUGACGGCCUUCGGGUUGUAAACCGCUUUCAGCAGGGGCGAAGCUUGUGGUGACGGUACCUGCAGAAGAAGCACCGGCUAACUACGUG